AUGUGCGCGCGGCUACGUCUUCUCAACGAGGAGAGAGUUGUGACCACACCCACGCUUGUAGGAGACAAGCAAAGUGAGGGCUGGUUCCUCGACACCGGCGCCACGAACCACAUGACUGGUUCGGUCGACGCGUUCGCGGAGCUGGACCGCUCAAUCACCGGGAAGGUGCGGUUCACGGACGGAUCCGUGAUGGAGAUCCACAGGCGCGGGACCGUCAUCUUCGCCGACAAAGGGGGUGAUCACAGGGCGUCCAUGGACGUCUACUUCAGCGCUCAAGAGCAGCAUUGUGAGUGUCGGACAGCUCGACGGGGGCUGGUUCGACAUCGGCAUCCGCCGCGGUGUUCUCACCGUGCGCAACCAGCAGAAGAGGCUGCUCAUCGAGGUAACCCGCUCGCUAAACCGCCUCUACAAGCUCUUCUUUCGACCCGUGCAUCCUGUGUGCCUUGUCGUGGGCCAUGUCUCCGACGCGUGCGUUGGCAUGCCCGGCUAGGACACCAGCACUUCGACGGGUUGCGAAAGAUGGCGCGAGGCAACCUCGUUCGCGGGCUACCUCACAUCGAGCACGCCGAUGAGCUGUGCGACGCGUGUCUUGCCGGGAAACAGUGGCGCCUGCCCUUUCCCGAGAAGGCACACUAUCGGGCACAGAAACCCCUGGAGCUUGUUCACGGGGACCUCUGUGGCCCAAUCACCCCAGCGACGCCAGGAGGGCGUCGCUACAUCCUGCUUCUCGUCGACGACUACAGCAGGUUCAUGUGGGUGCUGCUCCUCGCCUCCAAGGACGAGGCGGAGCGAGCCAUCGUCAAGCAGCAAGCGGCAGCAGAGGUUGAGUGCGGCCACAAGCUGCGCGUGCUACGCACGGACCGUGGCGGCGAGUUCACGUCGGCCACGUUCUACAAGCACUGCGACGACAAAGGGGUACAACGUCACCUGAUGGCCCCUACUCGCGCCAGCAGAACGGCGUCGUCGAGCGGAGGAACCAAACGGUGCUCGCGAUGGCACGUUGCAUACUCAAGGCAAAGCAGGUGCCGAGCACGUAUUGGGGGGAGGCCGUGCUCACGGCCGUCUUCAUCCUCAACCGCUCCUUCACAAGGAGUGUCGACGGCAAGACACCUUACGAGGCGUGGUAUGGGAGGAAGCCCGGCGUACGCUUCCUCCGCACCUUUGGUUGCGUCGGGCACGUCAAGAUGA
rnacentral:rRNA from 1 species